rnacentral:rRNA from 1 species
UAACCGGCCUGAGAGGGUGACCGGUCACACUGGGACUGAGANACGGCCCAGACUCCUACGGGAGGCAGCAGUGGGGAAUAUUGCACAAUGGGCGNAAGCCUGAUGCAGCAACGCCGNGUGAGGGAUGAAGGCCUUCGGGUUGUAAACCUCUUUUAGCAGGGAAGAAGNGAAAGUGACGGUACCUGCAGAAAAAGCUC